AUGGGGAGCCUGAACGUAGUAGAGAGGAGGUGGUUCGUCGGCGCAUGGGGUAGCUCUCUCCCUGAAGGUCACAAAAUGGCUAAAAGUUGGUACGAAGCAAAGAAAAUCCUCCGUGCACUUAAGAUGCCCUAUGAGCAGAUACAUGCUUGUCCAAACGGAUGUGUCUUAUUUACAAAAGAGUAUGCCGACGACAAGUACUGUGCUAAGUGCAAAGCCUCUAGGUAUGUUGAGAGAGACCUUGGUGAUGGUGUGAAGAAGCAGAGCAAAGUCCCUGCAAAUGUUCUUCGGUAUCUUCCAAUCUUGCCAAGAGUUCAACGGCUUUUCUUGAACGAAGAUACGGCCAAAAUGAUGACAUGGCACAAAUAUGGGAAAAGACUUGACAAGGAUGAUCAUGGGAGGCCGAUGAUGGUACAUGCGUCUUGUGGCCAAGCAUGGAAGAUUUUUGAUUGA
rnacentral:rRNA from 1 species